AUAUGGGUAAUAAAGCCACUAGAGUACUUGCACAGAGACUCCGCGAUAAACAAACUCAAUCUAGAAUUCCAUUUAUACUUCCUAAGACAGGACAAAAAAUUAUUCAACCAAAGCUGGUUUGUGAGGAAUUUGCAGCCUUUUAUGGGUUAUUGUAUAACUUAAAAGAUCAAAAAAAAUCUUCCAUAACCAACUUCUAGAGGAAUAGGUCAAUAUCUGGAUAAAUUAAACUUAUCUACUUUAA